AAAAGGUAUCAAGAUAUCACAAGGGCUCACAUCCAUCUCGGGACUGUUGUGCAACUGGCAGGUACUAGGUAUUGCAGAAUGGCAAGAGGCCACACAUACACAGACACAUGAAAAUAUGGGUGCCAGAUGGGACUCCCUAAAGAGAAUCAUCAAAAACAGCUCCACAUUCAUACCUUUUUUAUUAAUUUAUGGUGAAAGGAGUGUCUGAGGACUAACUUCAGAGAAGUUGGAAAAUGUGUUGUAAUACAGGAAAGGAACCUGCUGUGAAACACGACAAAGAUGUAUUUCCCUAAACUAGGCUUGAAAAACAUUCUCCAGGAAGACUUCCUCAAGCUGCCUAAUCUUAGAUUCCUUCCCUUGUGCUAGUUGUACCCUUGGAAAACUCUAUUUUGGCCACCUACCAUGCCAGAUUGUUAGUAUUUGGUUUAACUGUCUUCUGUAAUAAAUCAGCUUUCUGAGGGCAGAAUAUACCUUUUUCAUCUCUGUAUCUUUAGGUCCUAGCCCAGUAAUUGGUCCAUCAUAGGCUGUAAUAACAGAACUCACUUCUCCUUGGUUUACCAGUAU
rnacentral:lncRNA from 1 species